ACGGAGAACUUGAUGGGGAGCAGGGAGUUGUUCUGCAGCUGCGGAGAGCAGAGGCCACUGUUACCGCCCGCCAGCCGCAGCCCGGCUGCCUCCUUCCUGUGGUCAGCGCCCAGGACUUGGCUCCUGCUAUGAGGCCACACCCAGGCUCCCCGACCCACGGGUCACUUUCACAGCUGGCCUGAGUCCUGCCUGGUGGAAACCCCUCCUGGAAGGCUGGAGCCAGCACGUGUGCUUCACCUUGAAGCCUGAGGACACAGACUCUCCGGCGAUCACAUAGCCCAUGUUGAGGAUGCUGCCUUCAAUGGAGCACGUGAUCAUGGACGCCACGCCAGUGCCCACGAGGGUGAGGGUGAGCGUGCUUCUCUUGGUAAUGAUGUCCAGUGUUUCUUGAGCCUAAAGAGACCACAUCCCUCGGUCAGGAACAGAUAUCUGCUGGAGCCACGAGGGGAGCUCUGCCUCAGGGGCAGUGGGUUCUCAAUGCCGGAGCUGAGACAGCGCUGGGGCUCCAUCAGCUCCGCUCACUUGCCGGCUGGCGUGAGGGCCUGGGCCAGGCUGCCCACAGACCCAGGCGUGGUCAGCUCCGGGCCUGAGCACAGGCGAUGCCCGCCCCGGCCAGCGCCUUUGUCCUGCGGUGUGGGGAGCCUUGGGCCGCAGUGUGGCCGGGGUGGGCCUGGGACUCACCAGGAUGCUCUCGUGGGGAGAGAAGGACAGCACCAGGACCUGGGUCUCACCCGCACGCAGCAGGCUGGAGUGGUUCAGCAGGACGAAGGGGCCGUUGGGGUUCAGCAGGGAGAAGUCCAGCUGAGGGUCCAUGUCAAGGAGGGGACACGGGUGUCUGCAGGCUCCACCACACCCUCCCCAGCCCCACUCCCACCCCGCAGGCCGCCUGGGCUGGGUGGACAAGGACACGGCCAGAUCCUCGGGGGAGACGUUCUGGAUGGAGACCUUCUUGAUACUGCGGUGCCCUGAAAUGGGGCGGGGAGCGUCAGGCCCCAGCCCCAGCCCCAGGCCCCAGGGAGCACCCCUGUCAGGCGUGGGCCGUGGGGCUAGGGGAGGCAUGGGUGUGCCUGGGCACCGGGUGGAGGUGUGUGUGGGGCUGAGUGUCUCACCCACGGCGACGUCGCCGAAGUUAAAGAUGGUCUUGCCUUUGUGGGACGUCACCACAACAGACGGCGCCACCGUCGGGCACCACAGCUCCAGCGCCUCGCACCUGAAGCUUGGCGGUUCUGACCCUUUCCUGUCUUUGACGUCACCACUGGCAACAACACAGGGAACUACAAAUGUGUCAAACUUCGCCUGAAACGCUCUGACCAGAGUGGCUCGGGCAGCCUGGUACUCGUCGGAACUGGAAGGAAGUCGGAGGUGUGCACUCCCGCCUCCCCCCACCCACCAUCAGCCUAGGCCGGACCCCUGCGGCUCUGCCUCAGGGUCCCGGGGUUCCAGGCUGUGGCUGUCACAGUUGUGUCUGACAAGCUGGCUUUUCCACCCUUCUCUGGCUCCUGUGGGGGCCUUGUCACUCACUUCAGGUCCUCAUCAGCUGGUGACUGGGGUCUGGGGUUUGGGGCAGGUGCCUUUGGGCCCUGGAUAGACAGCCAUGUUCCUUUCUGGGGCCACAGGCGCCCAUCAGAGCUUUCCCAGGGCUCAUUCUGCACCCAAGGGGGCUGAGUGGGGGGCGGUGGCUUCGCUUCCCACCCGUGGAGUGAGGCUAUGGGCAGGGGUGUCAGGCCUGGGGGAAUGGGGUGGGCAGGUCCCAGGAAGGCAGCACCUGGAUCCAGCUGUGUCUGAAGCCGUCAGUCCUUCCAGCCACACGGGUCAUUCUGGGUAGUCUGUGGGGGGAGGGGACUCUCCACAGGGGCCACAGUGGGUCCCACCAGAGGGGCCUGGAGGGAAGCAGGUGGGGCAGCCCCUCCUGGACCCACCUGGGCUUCAGCUCCCGCUUCCGCAGUUCCAGGACGUGGGGGACAGAGACUUUGAACAGCUUGUCGCGGUUCUGCAUUCGAAGAGCGGAGAAUGACAGUCUGUGCAUGUCCUUCUUCUGGGAGGCCAUAUCCUUUCGGAACUGUGGGGGAAGAGACUGGCUGUGGGGCUGCGCAGGGCCCCAGAGGCACCCAGCUGCACCCUGUGGCUCCUCUGCGGCCAGUGCAGGAACCGUGGGAGCCCCAGUUGGAUUGAAUGGGGACCAGAAAACCGACCGGCUCCCUAGGAAGACUGUAGCCAGUGCAGAGGGGCACACGGACCCCCACAGAGCUGCCCACAGACUGCAGCGUCUGCUUCACCAGAGGAUAAACCGAGGCACAAAGGAGUGAGGAGGCAGCCAGAACUGGGGUCCCCCCCCUGUCUUCACUGCCAAAGGCUGAAGGCAAGUGCUUCCCCUCUCGUGCACGCCCAGGAGGAACCCGGGCCGGGCCAGGGAGGGCGCAUCUGGAGUGUGGCAGGCAGGAGCUCUCGAGGCCGCCUCCAGGGCCGGCGCUUGCCAGGCAGAUUCUGCAGGACCCUCCAUGUUUCAGGAGUGGGAGGGCUUCCUGGCGGAUCAGCUUCUCAGGCAGCACGGGCCGGAAGGCCACCUGGACCAGGCACCUCUGAGGAGAGACAGGCGUGGGCACAGGGGCUGCCACUUCUCUCCACCCCCCAGGAGCCCCUGCUGGCACUCUACCUUC